GGGCCCGCACAAGCGGCGGAGCAUGCGGAUUAAUUCGAUGCAACGCGAAGAACCUUACCAAGGCUUGACAUAUAGAGGAAAAGUGCAGAAAUGCACUCCCCGCAAGGUCUCUAUACAGGUGGUGCAUGGUUGUCGUCAGCUCGUGUCGUGAGAUGUUGGGUUAAGUCCCGCAACGAGCGCAACCCUCGUCCUAUGUUGCCAGCACGUAAUGGUGGGAACUCUAACGGAACUGCCGGUGCAAACCGUGAGGAAGGUGGGGACGACGUCAAAUCAUCACGGCCCUUACGUCCUGGGCCACACACGUGCUACAAUGGUAGGUACAGAGGGAAGCCACCCCGCGAGGGGAGCGGA
rnacentral:rRNA from 1 species